rnacentral:misc_RNA from 1 species
CAAGAAACCCUACGGCAUUACUCCCCGGAGUAUUGCCGCUAGGUUAUUUCACAACCCUUUGUUGUCCGACUCUGUUGCCUCCGGGGCGACCCUGCCUUCGGGCGGGGGCUCCGGGUGGACACUUCAAACUCUUGCGUAACUUUGCAGUCUGAGUAAACUUAAUUAAUAAAUUA